GAUGAACGCUGGCGGCGUGCCUAAUACAUGCAAGUCGAGCGAACAGACGAGGAGCUUGCUCCUCUGACGUUAGCGGCGGACGGGUGAGUAACACGUGGAUAACCUACCUAUAAGACUGGGAUAACUUCGGGAAACCGGAGCUAAUACCGGAUAAUAUAUUGAACCGCAUGGUUCAAUAGUGAAAGACGGUUUUGCUGUCACUUAUAGAUGGAUCCGCGCCGCAUUAGCUAGUUGGUAAGGUAACGGCUUACCAAGGCAACGAUGCGUAGCCGACCUGAGAGGAUGAUCGGCCACACUUGAACUGAGACACGGUCCAGACUCCUACGGGAGUCAGCAGUAGGGAAUCUUCCGCAUUGGGCGAAAGCCUGACGGAGCAACGCCGCGUGAGUGAUGAGGGUCUUCGGAUCUUAAAGCUCUGUUAUUAGGGAAGAACAAAUGUGUAAGUAACUAUGCACGUCUUGACGGUACCUUAUCAGAAAGCCACGGCUAACUACGUG
rnacentral:rRNA from 1 species